UACCCUGGUAGUCCACUCCGUAAUCGAUGUUGUAUACCCGUUGGGAUCCCUGAGAUAAUAGCGGCGCAGUUAACGGGAUUAGUGGUCAGCAGGGGGAGUACGACCGCAAGGUUAGAACUCAAAGGAAUUGCAGGGGGCCCGCACAAGCGGUGGAGCAUGUGGUUUAAUCAGAAGCAACGAGAAGAACCUUCCCCGGCCUUGACAUGGUGAGAACUUUCCAGAGAUGGAUUGGUGCCUUCGGGAACUCAGACACAGGUGCAGCAUGGCUGUCGUCAGCUGGCGUUCUUAGAUGUUGGGUUAAGUCCCGUAUCGAGAGCCACCCUUGUCCCUAGUGGCCAGCACGUAGGGGGGGCUCUCUCAGGAGACAACAUUCGACAAACCGGCGGAAGGUGGGGAUGAGGUCAAGUUAUCAUGGCCAGUGCGGCCAGGGAUCCUCACGUGCCACAAUGGUAGGUUCACAGGGUUGGCCAGCCGCGAGGUGGAGUUAAUCCCAUAAAACCGAUUGUAGUCCGGAUCGCAGUCUGCAAGAUCCCUGCGUGAAGUCGGAAUCGGAGUAAUGUAGAAUCAGAAUGUCACGGUGAAUAUGUUCCCGGGCAGGUACACUCCGCCCGUCACUCCAUGGGAGUGGGUUGGUCCAGAAGUACAUAGUCUAACCGCAAGGUGGACGGGAAAUAGUGGGACUCGUAACGUC
rnacentral:rRNA from 1 species